AGUGAACGCUGGCGGUAGGCCUCACACAUGCAAGUCGAACGGCAGCACAGUAAGAGCUUGCUCUUACGGGUGGCGAGUGGCGGACGGGUGGGGAACACAGCGGAAUCUACUCUUUCGUGGGGGAUAACGUAGGGAAACUUACGCUAAUACCGCAUACGACCUACGGGUGACAGCAGGCGAUCUUCGGACCUUGCGCGAUUGUAUGAGCCGAUGUCGGAUUAGCUAGUUGGCGGGGUAAAGGCCCACCAAGGCGACGAUCCGUAGCUGGUCUGAGAGGAUGAUCAGCCACACUGGAACUGAGACACGGUCCAGACCCCUACGGGCGGCAGCAGUGGGGAAUAUUGGACAAUGUGGGCAAGCGUGCUCCAGCCAUACCGCGUGGAAGAGGCACGCCUUCGGGUUGUAACGCCGUUUUGUUGUGAAAGAAAAGCACCAGGUUGACAUCCCGCUGUUCUGACGGUACCCAAAGAAUAAGCCCCGGAUUACUUCGUG
rnacentral:rRNA from 1 species